rnacentral:rRNA from 1 species
GAUGAACGCUGGCGGCGUGCCUAAUACAUGCAAGUCGAGCGAACAGACGAGGAGCUUGCCCCUCUGACGUUAGCGGCGGACGGGUGAGUAACACGUGGAUAACCUACCUAUAAGACUGGGAUAACUUCGGGAAACCGGAGCUAAUACCGGAUAAUAUAUUGAACCGCAUGGUUCAAUAGUGAAAGACGGUUUUGCUGUCACUUAUAGAUGGAUCCGCGCCGCAUUAGCUAGUUGGUAAGGUAACGGCUUACCAAGGCAACGAUGCGUAGCCGACCUGAGAGGGUGAUCGGCCACACUGGAACUGAGACACGGUCCAGACUCCUACGGGAGGCAGCAGUAGGGAAUCUUCCGCAAUGGGCGAAAGUCUGACGGAGCAACGCCGCGUGAGUGAUGAAGGUCUUCGGAUCGUAAAACUCUGUUAUUAGGGAAGAACAAAUGUGUAAGUAACUAUGCACGUCUUGACGGUACCUAAUCAGAAAGCCACGGCUAACUACGUG